CGCGUAGGCGGGGAGGUAAGUCGGGUGUGAAAUCCCUCGGCCCAACCGAGGAACUGCGCCCGAGACUGCCUCUCUUGAGUCCCGGAGAGGAAGAUGGAAUUCCCGGUGUAGCGGUGAAAUGUGUAGAGAUCGGGAGGAACACCGGUGGCGAAGGCGGUCUUCUGGACGGUGACUGACGCUGAGGCGCGAAAGCGUGGGGAGCAAACG
rnacentral:rRNA from 1 species